CCAAUAGCGUAUAUUAAAGUUGUUGUGGUUAAAAAGCUCGUAGUUGAACCUUGGGCCUGGCUGGCCGGUCCGCCUCACCGCGUGUACUGGUCCGGCCGGGCCUUUCCCUCUGUGGAACCUCAUGCCCUUCACUGGGUGUGACGGGGAAGCAGGACUUUUACUGUGAAAAAAUUAGAGUGCUCCAAGCAGGCCUAUGCUCGAAUACAUUAGCAUGGAAUAAUGAAAUAGGACGUGCGGUUCUAUUUUGUUGGUUUCUAGGACCGCCGUAAUGAUUAAUAGGGACAGUCGGGGGCAUCAGUAUUCAAUUGUCAGAGGUGAAAUUCUUGGAUUUAUUGAAGACUAACUACUGCGAAAGCAUUUGCCAAGGAUGUUUUCAUUAAUCAGGAACGAAAGUUAGGGGAUCGAAGACGAUCAGAUACCGCCCUAGUUCUAACCAUAAACGAUGCCAACCAGCGAUUAGCCUGAGUUCCUUAAAUGACUCGGCUAGCAGCUUCCG
rnacentral:misc_RNA from 1 species